UAAUUAGUGGCCAUUGCUUGGGUGUGGCUAUAAAAGCCUGGAAGUGUGCAAUAUCUGGAGAUUGUGAAUCGCUACCUCCUGUGCAGAGUGGCUUCCUGUUUAUCCCGCGCCUGGUGUUGUGAUCAUCUCCUCCUUCGCUGACCUCGAGAACGGUUGUUCACUCUAGUUCCAGUGAGGACGCACGUUCCCGCGGCAGCCAGUGUCUCCGAGUAACGUGGGUAUUUUAUUUAAAUCUCCCUAUUGGCAUCAUUUUACCUCCGUUAGGUUUUUAAUUAUGAUUUGUGUUCUGCAGACAC